GGCACCAGCCGGGGGCUGGCAGGGGAGCUGAGCUUUGGAGCCAAGGACUGUACUGCAGUGCAGGGAGAGUGAGGCCAGAAAGGCUGAGACAACUCAGGGAAGGAAAACCUCCCUUCUGGCUAAUAGCCAAGCAUCGCCUGAGUAGACCGACACUCUACUGUCCACAGGGGCAGCAGAUGAAGACACAUUCAGAGAGGACUAACAGGCCCCCUCAGCUCCCAGUCAGAGGGCAGAGCAACCCAGAACAGACGUUAAAGGAACAGACUCUGAGGUCAGGCAGCCUUGGGUGUUCAUCUGUCCCUACUAAGCCAUGUGACGUUAGGCAAGUGAGUCCACCUCUCUGAGACUCAGGUUCCUCAUCUGUACAAUGGGGAUUAUAAGAGUCCUUGUUUCUCAGGGACAACGUGAGGAUUGAGAUGGUACGCAUAGAGAAUGUAGUGCACUACUGGGCAUGUGGCAAACAUCAGUGACGCUAGUUACCGUUUAUCAUUAGUGUUCCUGUAGACCAGGACUUCUCAACCUUAGCGCUAUUCACCUUUUGGGCUAGAAAGUUUUUUUGUUGUGGGGAGCUGUCCUAUGCAUUUGAGGAUGUUUAACAGCACCCCUGGCCUCUACCCACUAGAUGCCAAUCACACCACACCCCCAGUUUCAACAACCAAAAAUGUCUGCAGAUGGUGCCGAAUGUCUCCUGGAGGGUGAAAUCAUUCCCCAGCAGUUGAAAACCACCACCCUAAACAAUCUGGACUGAGUUUGAAUGUCACAGAUCCCAAGCUCACAGCUCCAUGUAAAGGCCACAAGGCAGGCAGGCCUACUUACAGAUGAAGGAACGGAAAGAGCAACAAUUACAGAUCGAGCUGGCUAGCUCCCGUGUAGACUAAGAGGCAGGAUCUGUAGUCUGCUCUAGGAGCUAACAAGGCCUCUGUGACUCAGUAGGCGACCUCAGUGUCACUCUUUAAUUAUAUGCAAAGUGGUCUUGAGUUAACUUUUAAUUAUUCUAGGGCUCUAAACAAGAAAAUAGGUAGUUGGUAUCUGAUUUCUGGCAUCUAGAUUCUGAUUCACUGACUGGGAGAAAAUCUGACUCUCCAGAACUCUUUCAGAGUUCAUUUGGCCCUUCAUUUAUGACUCUGGGGAGAUUUCUGAGCAAGAACUGUCAGGGCCUGAGUCAGGCCCUGUUCCAGGUGCUGGAAAUGCACAAGAGAACAAAAAAGCAAAGUUCCUUCUUCAUGGAACUUAUAGCAGGAGAAUAAAGAUAAAAUCAAGCAAAAAUAUUUAUCCCUGAUAAGGGCAGUGGAUAAAAAUAAAAUAGAAUAGGCCAGGCACGGUGGCUCACGCCUGUAAUCCUAGCUCUUUGGGAGGCCAAGGCUGGUCUUGAACUCCCGACCUCAUAUGAUACACCCACCUUGGCCUCCCAAAGUGCUAGGAUUACAGGCAUUAGCCACCGCACCCUGACUCAUUUUUUCAACAGACAUUUGUUGAGCACCUGCUUGAUACAAGGCCCCCAUCUAGGCACAAGGGACAUGAAAGGAAGCAAGUCAGACACAGUUCCUAUCCUCUUGGAGUUUACAUUUUAUAUGUGGAGACAGACAUUGAACAGGAUGCACAUAGGAUCACAGGAUGUCACAAAUGCAGUGGAGGAGAAAGAUAGGCUGGUGUGAGAGCUGUUAAUGGGGGCUCUGCUCUAGCCUGGGAGGCAAGGAAGGCUUUUCCAGGAGUCACAUUAGAGAAACAAUCUAUCCAAGCAGGGAACUAGGCUGGGGGAAGUGCAGGGAGCUUUUUAGGUGGAAAGAACAGCAUGUUCAAAGGCCUAAAGCUGGAAGGAGGCUGACUUGGCUCCAGAGAAGCUGUUGGGGGAGUGUGGGAGAGACAAGGCAGGGAGUAGGGGUGGGGAGCAGCCAGACCUUUGGAGUCUUAUAAGCCUGGUUAAGACACGUGGACUGUAUUCUGCGGUCACCAGUGGCUCUGUUGAGGUGGGAAAUUAAAAAAA
ensembl:lncRNA